AUGAGGUUUUCCAUUAAUUCCCCUGAGCCAGCAGUUGUUUAUCCCAAAGAGAAUAUAGUAUAUGUGGACUCAAGAGUGAUAGUAACAUGUGAAUGGUGGAAGGGAAUCAAUGAGGAAACAGAACUAAAGCUAUAUAAUAUAAAAGAAGUGUUGCGGGGGUUGCCCAGGGAGCUGGCCGAGGCAGUGUACAGGGGCAGGGUGUUGGUGGUUGGUGUGGGCGGGAUUGGCUGUGAGCUCCUCAAGAACCUGGUGCUCACUGGCUUCUCCCACAUUGACCUGAUUGAUCAGGACACUAUCGAUGUCAGUAACCUCAACAGGCAGUUCUUGUUUCAAAAGAAACAUGUUGGAAGAUCAAAGGCUCAGGUUUUCAAAGAAAAUGUGCUCCACUUCCACCACAAGCAAUCAUUGAGGCCCACCAUAACAACAUCAUGAACCCAGACUACAAUGUGGAGGGUUUUUUUUUUUUGACAAUUUAUUUGGGUUAUGAAUGCAUUAGAUAACAGAACUGUAUGAAACCAUGUGAAUAGAAUGUGUCUGGCAGUUGAUGUGCUUCUCAUUGACAUUGGAACUGCUGGCUAUCUCAGACAGGUGACCACUAUCAAGAAGGGUGUGACUGAGUGUUACAAAUGCCGUCCUAAGCCUACCCAGAGAACAUUCCCUGGCUGUAUGAUUUGGAACACACCUUCAGAACCUAUCUAGUGCAUCAUAUGGGCCAAGUAUUUGUUCAACCAGCUGUUUGGAGAGGACGAUGCUGAUCAAGAAGUGUUUCCUGGCAGAGCUGACCCUGAAGCUGCCUGGGAACCAACAGAGGCUGAAUCCAGAGCCCAAGCAUCUAAUGGAGAUGGAGACAUUCAGCGUAUUUCCACUAAAAAAUGGGCUAAAUUAACUGGAUAUGAUCCAGUUAAACUUUUUACCAAGCUUUUUAAAGAUGAUAUUAGGUAUCUGCUGACAAUGGACAAACUCUGGCAGAAGAGGAAACCUCCAGUUCCACUGAACUGUGCUGAAGUGCAGAGUCAAGGAGAAGAAGCCAAUGCCCAUCAACAUAAUGAGCCCCAGUUGAGUUUGAAAGACCAGCAGGUUCUGGAUGUAAAGAGCUAUGCAAUCUAUUUUCAAAGAGCAUCAAGAUAUUUAGCCAAGAAGGGAGAUGGAGCUGAGCUCAUCUGGAAUAAGGAUGACCCACCUGCAAUGGAUUUUGUCACUUCUGCUGCAAACCUCAGGAUACACAUUUUCAGCAUGAAUAUGAAGAGCAGGUUUGAUAUGAAAUCAAUGGCAGAGAAUAUCAUUCCUGCUAUAGCUACUAUGGAUGCAGUGAUCUCUGGCUUGAUAGUAUUGGAUAGAUUAAAGAUUUUUAUCUGAAUAAAAAAAUAGACCAGUGUAUAACUAUUAUUUUGAAUAAGCAGCCAAACCCCCAAAACAUGCUCUUGGUGCCCUGUGCACUGGAUCCUCCAAACACCAACUAUUAUGUUUGUGCCAGCAAGCCAGAGGUGUGGCUGAAUGUUCACAAAGUGACUGUCCUAAAUUUAUAGGAUAAGAUAGUGAAAGAAAAGUAUGCUAUGGUGGCACCAGAUGUCCAAACAGAAGAUGGGAAAGGCACAAUCCUGUUAUCUUCAGAAGAGGGACAGAAGCUAAUAACCCAAGGAGUUGUCUGAUUUUGGAAUUAGAAAUGGCAGCUAACUUCAGGCAGACGACUUCCUCCAGGACUACACUUUGCUGAUAAACAUUCUUCGUAGUGAGGAUCUUGGAAAGGAUAUUGAAUUUGAGGAAGAUGGUGACACCCCUGAAAAGGUGUGGCCAAAACAAGUUGAAAAUGCUGCCAACAGCAUUGCCAAUGGCAGUGAUGACGGUGCCGAGCCUUCCACCUCCACAGCACAAGAGGAAGAUAACGUGCUCAUAGUCAAUUUAGACGAAGAAGGCCCUUCAAAUAGAGAUGACGACCACAGUGGGCACAACAGGGCCCGAAAGAGGAAACUGGAAGAGAAUGAGGGUACCUGUACCAAGAAUUCCCGCUUGGAGUAGACAGAAGAUCUGUAUGAUGUCAUAGCAUUAGACUGA